GUAACACGUGGAUCAUCUACCUUUUAGUGGGGAAUACCCCCGGGAAACUGGGGACAAUACCGCAUAAGCUCGUAAGAGGAAAGCAGCAAUGCGCUGAAAGAGGAGUCCGCGGUGAUUAGCUUGUUGGGGGGUAACGGCCACCAAGGCGAAGAUCGGUAGCCGGCUGAGAGGGCACACGGCACACUGGCACUGAAACACGGGCCAGACUCCUACGGGAGGCAGCAGUGGGGAAUCUUGCACAAUGGAGGAAACUCUGAUGCAGCGACGCCGCGUGAGCGAUGAAGCCCUUCGGGGUGUAAAGCUCUUUCGACGGGAACGAUAAUGACGGUACCCGAAGAAGAAGCUGCGGCUAACUACGUGCCAGCAGCCGCGGUAAUACGUAGGCAGCAAGCGUUGUUCGGAAUUACUGGGCGUAAAGAGUGUGUAGGCGGUGUUCUAAGUCUGUUGUGAAAUCUCCCGGUUAACUGGGAGGGUGCGGGGAACUGGGAUGCUAGAGUAUGGGAGAGGUAA
rnacentral:rRNA from 1 species